rnacentral:rRNA from 1 species
AUACGUAGGGGGCGAGCGUUGUCCGGAAUGAUUGGGCGUAAAGGGCGCGUAGGCGGCGCGGUAAGUCUGGAGUGAAAGUCCUGCUUUCAAGGUGGGAAUUGCUUUGGAUACUGCCGCGCUUGAGUGCAGGAGAGGUUAUCGGAAUUCCCGGUGUAGCGGUGAAAUGCGUAGAGAUCGGGAGGAACACCAGUGGCGAAGGCGGGUAACUGGACUGCAACUGACGCUGAGGCGCGAAAGUGUGGGGAGCAAACAGGAUUAGAUACCCUGGUAGUCCACACUGUAAACGAUGAAGGCUAGGUGUAAGAGGUAUCGACCCCUUUUGUGCCGGAGUCAACACAAUAAGCAUUCCGCCUGGGGAGUACGGCCGCAAGGUUGAAACUCAAAGGAAUUGACGGGG